UGGGAAAGCAGUGGGAGAUGGUCCAAGUCCUUGGGGCCCUGCACCUGAGUGGGCGAUCCGGAAGAAGCUCCUGGCUCCUGGCUUCAGAUGGGCCCAGCUCUGGCCGUUGUGGCCAUCUGGGGAGUGAACCAGCAGAUGGAAGACUUCUGCCUCUGUCUCUCUGUAAUUCUGCCUUUUAAAUAAAUAAUUUAAAAAGAAAGAUUCUCCUUUCCUUAUUUCCACCAGGACCAACUCAACCACCUAUGAACCCUUCUGACUCCUCACAGUACCCUGCAUUUUCUCCCUGGUGUCAGCCACAGUUAAGGACCCGCUAUCUCUGUGACUGUCAUGAAUGCCAGGUGCACAAGAAAUGACACUGACCACCUUGGUGACUGGAAUGAUGGCUUACUGUUCUGUGAUGUGUCCUCAUGAAACAUUCCAUCUCUUCUCAUGCUGGAUUCACAGGGUUUGGUGCAUUUCUCCAGGCCUGCACAAGGCUUGCCCAGAACUGGACUGGAUAACAGAACGGGAGGUGACUAGACUGCAAAAUUUGAAGCAUUAG
rnacentral:lncRNA from 1 species